UACGUAGGUGGCGAGCGUUGUCCGGAAUUACUGGGUGUAAAGCGCGUGUAGGCGGGAGGCCAAGUCUGUGGUGAAAUCGCUCGGCUUAACUGGGCGGGGUCCAUGGAAACUGGUCACCUGGAGGUCGGUAGAGGCAAGUGGAAUUCCCGGUGUAGUGGUGAAAUGCGUAGAGAUCGGGAGGAACACCAGUGGCGAAGGCGGCUUGCUGGGCCGGACCUGACGCUGAGACGCGAAAGGCGUGGGGAGCGAACGGG
rnacentral:rRNA from 1 species